rnacentral:lncRNA from 1 species
AUGGCUGAUUCAGGGCACUUUCUUACUGGUGGAGCAGAGGAGUGUACACACUGGCACACAGGUAUUCCCUCGGAGCAGAGAAGUGGUUUCCCACCUAUUUACUGGAGUCAGCUUGAGGACCUCUAUUAUUUUGAAGAAAUCCGCAUCUGUCUUGAUGACAGUGUAGGGAAAGUUAUUUCACCACUGUAGUGGCAUCAGAGGACACUCUCAGCAAGAAGUAACCAAUCUCUUUGGAGCUUGCAAAGGAAGGUGCAUCCCACAGAGCUAAUGUUAUGUGCACCACUUGUAGACAGGUAUGUUUAACAAAAGAUGCAUUCUGGAUGCACUCCAAAUAUCAUCACUAUUGUU